rnacentral:rRNA from 1 species
AUUGAACGCUGGCGGCAUGCUUUACACAUGCAAGUCGAACGGUAACAGGCCGCAAGGUGCUGACGAGUGGCGAACGGGUGAGUAAUGCAUCGGAACGUGCCCAGUCGUGGGGGAUAACGCAGCGAAAGCUGCGCUAAUACCGCAUACGAUCUAUGGAUGAAAGCGGGGGACCGUAAGCCCUCGCGCGAUUGGAGCGGCCGAUGUCAGAUUAGGUAGUUGGUGAGGUAAAGGCUCACCAAGCCGACGAUCUGUAGCUGGUCUGAGAGGACGACCAGCCACACUGGGACUGAGACACGGCCCAGACUCCUACGGGAGGCAGCAGUGGGGAAUUUUGGACAAUGGGGGCAACCCUGAUCCAGCAAUGCCGCGUGCAGGAAGAAGGCCUUCGGGUUGUAAACUGCUUUUGUACGGAACGAAACGGCUCUGGUUAAUACCUGGGGCUAAUGACGGUACCGUAAGAAUAAGCACCGGCUAACUACGUGCCAGCAGCCGCCGUAACAC